AUUUAGCGGAGGUAAGCAUGCUUAUAUUCGA
rnacentral:rRNA from 1 species